rnacentral:lncRNA from 1 species
GUUUGUUAUUUGUUGCAGAAAACAAGUCAUAACAAUUCUGAACCGUUGGUUUUGUGGCAAGGUAUUGGUCAAAGAGUUUGGAUAGUGACCACCUUUGGAGACACACCGUCUGCUCAUGGAUGCUCAGAAUCUUCCUAUCUUGGGAUUGUUGCUAAUGAGCUAGGAGUUUGACUAUCAUAUCAAGUGGAACUAUUAUGGAAUUUAGCUGUGAUUUUUUUGAUGAAAUUUGGGAAUUGGUUGUAAUGUAGAAGUUAGUUGUAGGAUAUGGAUGUGAUGCAUUGUUAUGCUUGAAUGUUAAAAUGAAAAUGUAUGUAUGAAAAUGAGUUUGGAAAUGUUUGAAAGUUAAAUAUUAUUGAAUGUUAUGAAAUGAGUGUAUGUACUAUU